CAGCAGCCGCGGGAAUACGUAGGGUGCGAGCGUUAACCGGAAUUACUGGGCGUAAAGCGUGCGCAGGCGGUUGUGUAAGACAGGUGUGAGAUCCCCGGGCUUAACCUGGGAACUGCGCUUGUGACUGCACAGCUAGAGUAUGGCAGAGGGGGGUGGAAUUCCACGUGUAGCAGUGAAAUGCGUAGAGAUGUGGAGGAACACCGAUGGCGAAGGCAGCCCCCUGGGCCAAUACUGACGCUCAUGCACGAAAGCGUGGGGAGCAAACAGGAUUAGAUACCCCCGUAGUCCCUGUCUCUUAUAC
rnacentral:rRNA from 1 species